rnacentral:rRNA from 1 species
GUGUCAGCAGCCGCGGUAAUACGUAGGUGGCGAGCGUUGUCCGGAAUUACUGGGCGUAAAGGGUGCGUAGGCGGAAGCUUAAGUCAGAUGUGAAAUCCCAAGGCUCAACCUUGGAGUGGCAUUUGAAACUGGGUUUCUUGAGUGCAGGAGAGGAAAGCGGAAUUCCUAGUGUAGCGGUGAAAUGCGUAGAUAUUAGGAAGAACACCAGUGGCGAAGGCGGCUUUCUGGACUGUAACUGACGCUGAGGCACGAAAGCGUGGGGAGCAAACAGGAUUAGAUACCCUGGUAGUCCACGCUGUAAACGAUGAGUGCUAGGUGUGGGGGGUUUCGACACCCUCUGUGCCGCAGUAAACGCAAUAAGCACUCCGCCUGGGGAGUACGGUCGCAAGACUAAA